AGCGGGGAUGGCGUGGGCUGGCGACUGCGCGGCGCUGCCAGCGCCGCUUCGACGGCCCGCUGUACGGCGUGGUGCACCGCCCCC
rnacentral:tRNA from 1 species